AUAGCUGUCACUAUGACUGUUUGAGAAUUUAAAAUUGAAUCUGGAAAAGGAAACCCUUCCAUAGCCAUCGUCCAACCAUCGCAGCCAUGCUCCCCUCUUCCAAGAUCUGUGAGCAUGUUGAGUAUGUUGACGACACGAAUGCUGUGGAGCUGGUCGUAUAAAGCUGAAAGAGGAAAGGAAUGAAGAAGAGUAGAAGCUGGUGGCAGAAGGAAGCAGGGUAAGAGAGAAUGAGGGAGUAAUGAGAAGCGAAGUAGAACAAGAGAGGGACAAAGAGAAGGUCGAGAGUGUGGUAACGUGUCUCGUGUUUAGCUUCGAAGCAUGAGACGUUGGGGACGGAGUAGAGCCAGUUGAAGGCGGCGAGGUAGUAAGCAGCGUUGUUGAUGCUGACGGCGACGAUGGAGGCCCAGGCGCUCGAGGAGAGCUAGUCCAAGAAGAAUUAUCACUAUCCAAUUCCAGAUAUCUAUCUUCACUGUUUCCCUCACUGGAAAAAAGGUAUCGAUCCCUGGCAGCAGAUGAUUCUAUAGCUACAAUGGCAGCAUGUCGCAAAGGGUGCCAAUAAUAUGAACUCUGUGAAUGAGAUUGCUGCUCAGUCCAUUGCCGAGGAUAUAAACAAGCAACAUCUGUAUAUGAUUGUUUAAGCUGAUUGGAGGAACUGUUUGAAUGCAAUGGUUCAUGGGGAUUACAUCUACUGGAACUUAUAGGAUGGGAACUAGAUAAUUCUGGCUUUCUAUAGCAGUUGUUGUCUUUGCAAGUGUUCCAAGAAAAAAUCUGAUCACAUGCGCUUGAAAUUAUUUGCUUA